GCCUGUGCGACAGAGCGAGACUCCAUCUGAAAAAAACAUAUAUUAUUAGAUUGAGGAAAAGGUUUCUAACUAUUUGCUGCAAAGAUGAAGGUAAAAUGGUUAAAAAUUCUAGAACAUGCGGAUUCUAACCAAAACAAAACUGGUAAAGCUAUACUAUAUCAAAAAUAUUUUAAUGCUAAAUGUACUACUAGAAGCAAAAAAAAAAAAAAAUCAUAAUGAUGCAAGGGUCUUCCAUCAGUAUGAUAAAAAUGAUUACUUAAAUGCCAUAUGACCACAUGACUUCACUGAUAUAUAUUUUUCAGUGUCUCUCCCAAUGACCUUGGAUAAGGCUCAAACUACAAUAUGGCCAAAAAGAUCCUCUGUGAAUCACCUGCUUCAUCUCUAACAGCUCAUGUCAUUUUUUCCUCAAAAUUUAUGUUUAGGAGUGUUGAAGAACAUGCAAUUCCUCAAAAUCACCACAUUAUUUUAUAUUCUCUAUGCUUUUGCUUAUAUUGCUCCCUCUGCCUGGACUGCUUUUCUUUGUGGAAAUUAUCUGAAAAAGUUCUAUUUAUCUUUCAGAGAUGUAUUAUGCUAUAUCCUAUGUAAAGCUUUUCUGAUUGACUCCUGCAUAUAAUCUUUCACUCUUCUGUAUACCGCUUUACCUCAUAAGCAUUUUUUAAAAAUCAUUUUUUGUAAUAUAUUUGCUCCUGUAUUCUGGUUUUCUUCUAGACAGCAGGAAGUAUCAGACAGUCAUUAACUUUUACAGAACUCAAUUUAUUUGUGAUGGUAAAUUGCAGUAACCUUAGAGAGAUACUUACUAUAAAAUUGUCUGAAUUGUAUUUUGCUGAGAAAUAUAUUUCUUUUAGAUUCAGCUAAGAUAACUUAUAAAUCAUUUGUCUAAUGAUUUCAAUUAGUAUUUUUAAAACUAAAACCUCAUUAUUUUUUAUUCUUCUCUCAUUUUAUUAAUUUUAUACUUAUGAAUGAAGUCAUGAGAGCAGUUAAUACAACUAGUUAUGCCAGUACAAUAACUGAGAAAGAGUAUCUAUUUAUAUUGCUCUUUUGUUAUGGAUUACUUGACUUUUUUCAUAGCAGUGUUAGUUUUCUAGACUGAUUUAGCCAAAUUGUAAUUUAGCCAAAUUGUAAAUGAAUUAACUUGAAAAUUUUGCAUUUGUAUGUAUUUUUAUAAAAUGUAUGAAUCCAUACUAUUUGAGAAUUUAUAAAAAUUGUUUAAAGCAGAACUAUUAACCGGGGUGCCAUCAUUAAUAAAAGCUGCAAUGACAAGGUUUGAAUUUCUGGAUGUGUUUUGGCUGAUUCUACAGUUCUUUCUGCUAGACUUGCAAAUUAAAAUAGCCAAAGUAAUUUCUUAGAUGAAUUGAUUUAUAAGCAGGCUAAUGAUUUUUCAUGAUUUUAAAAUAGAGGACUUUCAGAUUCAUGUUGUAGGAGAUUGGUUAAGGAUGAAAAAUUUGUGUCAAACUGCCUAGCUCUAAAUUUAAGCUUUGCCACAUUUUGCCUUAUAUAAUCUUGAACAAUUUGCUUAACCUCCCUAAGUCAUAGUUUUUUUUCCAUCUGUGUAAUACAGAUAAUAAUUGAUCUAUUUCAUAGAUUAUUUUGAGGUUUAAUUGACAAUAUAAGUAAGAUAUUUAGCAGUUUCUGUUACAUAGUAAAUACUCAAAGAUGAGCUAAUAUAACAGAUAUAGCUAAGUAAAGUCAAUAAAACAUAUAGUUAAUUUAAAGACUAUUUUACAACUACCAUGUAUCUAAGUACUAUUUAUUUAUGUAUUUAGGUAUUUAUACAUAAAUACCUGCCAUCUUGACCUCCUGGGCUUAAGUGAUUCUCCCACCUCAGCCUCCUGAGUAGCUAGGACUACAGGUAUGUGCCACUACACCUGGCUAAUUUUUUUUUUAUUUUCAGUAGAGAUGAAGUCCCAAUAUGCUGCCUCGGCUGGUCGAAAACUCCUGAGCUCAAGUGAUCCUGCCACCUCGGCUUCUUAAAGUUAAUUUGUCUAGAAAUGACAGUGUAAUGCCACUCUGGUCAAUGAUACCUAAGAGGAAGUCUACUGGAAGACAUCUGGGAAAGAUUUACCAUCCUGAAAAAAGACGUGAUCAUGACAUCUUGCAGAAAAGAGGAAGAGAGAAUUUCUAGGACAAAUGGCUUGUUUUUUACGUUAGAGAUGAACCAAAAGUUGCACACUUCACCUCUGCUCACAUCCCAUCCUUCUUAAUCAUAUAGCCACAACUUGCUUCAAGUGAGACUGAAAAUACAGUCCCUAAUGGGGGAAGAGGUGAUGACCAUGCGUACAGCCUAAGUUUUUUUU